GACGAUAAACUUCGGACCGCGCUCGCCUGCGAUUCAGUUUGUUUCAAUCGCUCGUACAUGUCGGACGUAUUCACGCACCGCACACACGCUUGUACACACACGUGCUAGUCACAUACACGUACACACACGCUAUCCACGGAACUGUGUAUAUAUACAUACGCGUAUACAUCUGUGUGUAUACAUACGUAUACAGACGUAUACACACCAAUUCCGCGAUUAGUUCAUGUUGAUAGACUUUGGAACUGUUUCUUCAGUCAAGCAUAGUCAGUCAAACUACUCGAACACGGCGAGUGUUAUUUAUUCGUCCUCAAGGCAGAUUCAGCAUGCUAAAAAAGCUCGAAAGUGAGGAGCGUGGUCGUCGAUCUCACUGAACUUCGCAUUCACGUGCUCGCCGAGAAGCGUCUCACGUUUUGACACUUCGUUACGCUUUUCUCGCGGAGUCCGUGCCGGUUCGAAACGCGCGCUAAAGCCGCGUCUACCGUCGUAUCGACCACCGGGUGACAGCCGCGCCGAUUGGCUCGGCCAGGAUCACGUGGUCUCGCUCAACGUCAGUUUGGAGUACUGUCUGCUGGCGGUGCCAGGCGCACUUAUCAACGUACGCUUGAAGGGAAGAGGAGAACAAAGGAUCCGCGGAGACGGUUUCUCCGCUUUCCUCGUUCGAGUGCCAGGAUUCUCUCGCGUUUUCACCAUCUCGAGAUCGCGUUAAGGAAUUGUGUCUCUUCGAUCGAAAUUCGCGCGAACGAUACGCACUGCGUCAAGUGUCCGCGACACUUUGACAGCUCGCUGUCGCGGUGACGGCGUCGUCGGCGGAUCGUCGUCGAGUUUCAUCGAACGGUGUCAUCGGGACCGAAGGGUAGCGCGAAACUGACAGAGAAUCGUCGACGAGGCGUCACGACUCCUCGACGCGAAACAAAUCCGCGAGACGUGAAUAAUCGCGAUCCUUCGGUGGCUCUUAAUACCUCUUGCUCUCUUUUUCGCGCUAGAGAAAGAGAGAGAGAGGAAUCUUUGAACCGAAUACAGCCGCGAGUACGUCUGUACGCCGCGAAUUUCAAAUAGUAUUCGAGUGAUUUCCGCGACCUUUAGUGCCGCGGGCUUAGGACAUGUACAGUAUGAACUAUAUCGCCAAGAUCAUCAGCAAUUUCCGUCUCUUCUACAACGAGAUAAACGCCGCGACCCUCACCGGUGCGAUCGACGUCAUCGUUAUCGAACAGCCGGACGGCACCUUCACGUGCUCGCCCUUUCAUGUCCGUUUCGGCAAACUCGGUGUACUUCGCUCGAGGGCAAAAGUGGUGGACAUUGAAAUAAAUGGAGAACCUAGGGAGAUUCAUAUGAAACUUGGAGAUUCCGGUGAAGCCUUCUUCGUAGAGGAAGUUAGCUUAAAUGGAUCUCCAACGGAUACUGAAAUUCCACCGCAUUUGGCCUGUUCACCUAUACCUGAUGACAACUGCUUCCCAACAGCAAAAUUCAAUCUCUUAUCAGAUCUGCCUCAAGAACAAAAAGAGAAGAUCCUUAUAGAUUCAGUUCUUUCUAUAGAACGUGAAAAAUGGGAGCAGAUGUCCGCCUUACCACCCGAUCAACGAGAGAAGUUUCUGAUAGAACAGUUCUCAGAUCUUCCUGCGGAACAUCGUGAGAAGUGGCUUCAGAUUGCUUCAUUGACUGUAGAAGAACGAGAUGAAAUGUUUAAGGAAAGUUUUGGCACGAUAUCUCCAGAACAAAAGCAGCGGAUGAUCAGGGAACAAUAUUCCGCCUUGAAAAUGGAAGAUAAAGAGAAAUUGUUCAAGGAAAAUUUCCCAGAGCUUUCGAUUGAGCAAAGACAAAAUUUUGAAAAAGCUUUAUUGAGUGACUGGAAGGAAAAAGAAGAAAACUGGGAAGAAAAACAUGAUAAGAAUGAAGACGAAGAGAUAUUUGAUAUGGAUGCUAUCAAUGAUGAACAGCCAAAAUUACCAGUUUCUUGUCCAAAAUCUUUUAUAGCUGUUACUUCAUCUGAACGAAUUCGCAAGAUCAGCGUGGUAAAUAAUGACUUUAGACCAAUUAUGGAUGAUCCGCAAAGCAGUAGUAAGGAAAAAUCAAGUGACGAAUCAAAUUCAUCUUUGAAUAAGAAAAAUUUGAAAGAAGAAAACAUUGAAGAGGUAAAAAGUAACAAUUCGACUAAAAGGAAACGCAAGAGGAAGAGUGUUAUGAAGAAAAAAGGCUCACAAAGAAAAACUAGCAAUGGUAGCAGCAGCCAAACAGAAAUGAGCGAGACAGAUGUAUUAGUUACCGAGGAAUCAAUUAGUGAAACUGGACCCACGCCAGUUGCAGAAGUUGAAAAGAACAAUACUGUGGAAUCAAUGAUAUGCUCUCAGGAUGCAAUUGAAAAACGUCCUGAAACCGAUUUCCAUUUCUUCAGUGAUUCAGAAAUUACCAAGAACAAAGACUCCAGAUCAUGUUCACCUAUUCAAUCUGACACGGAAUUCGAAGUACGUAAAAUUACACAAGAGGGUAGUGAAAGAGAGGAUGACAAGGGUCAUCAGCAGAGUUGGAGAUGGGGUGAAUUGCCCAGUCCACCUCCAGAACCAGUGCAUAUGUCGCAUAGGAAUUCAUUGAGUUCUUCAACUACAGCUAGUCAGCCAAAUAAAGAUGCACAACGAUCUAUGCUCAGUGGCAUGUUCUCUUUUAUGAAGAAGACUUCUCGCGUAAGACACAAUCCAGAAUCAGAAGGAAUUUAUCUUAGCGAUCUUAAUGCCGACGAAUUGGAUCCUGAAGUCGCGGCUUUGUAUUUUCCUUCUUCGCAUCGAGGUUCGACGGUGAUUAAAGAUGGAAAAGUAGUGGACGAAGAGGACACAGAAUCUGGUAACGGUCCAAGUUUACCUCAAAGCCCCAACAGUGUUGAGGGAGCCAUCGGUGGGCCAAAGUCCCUGGACAGCGAUUUCGAAGAACCAAAGCAUUCUAUAUUCGAUAAUAACAUAGAAAUAAGUAUGUCACUAUGCGGUGGUCUAGACAAUGAGAAUGGUCCUUCCAAGGAGGGUUUUCACGAAAAUUUACUGCAUUUUGAGGACGUUUGUACCGAUCCAAAACUAUAUGAAAAUCCGAAUUUGGUCGUGAGAAUCAAUGGAAAAUUUUACAAUUGGGCUACAGCUUGUCCAAUAGUGCUGACUUACGUCGUUUUUCAAAGACACUUACCGCAACGUGCAAUUGAAAGUCUGUACAUGUCCUUACCAGUACAUGAGGAUAAGAAGCUACAAAGCAACGGCAAGCCCGAGAGUCGUAGCGGAUAUAGUUCUUGGUUUUCUUGGAGACGUUCCACGCAACCUCCUAAGAAAACACAGGACAUUAAUCAAAUCGAGGAAAGUGCCGUGCAGUCUGAACAGAUUCUAGAAACUAAAGUAGCAGAUGAAGAAAUACUCUCUGCUAACAGAGAGGAAAAGACUGAACAACACAUAGAUUUGCCAAGCUCAACAGAAGCGAUAGAAACUUGUACAAGAUUAAUAUCCUCACCAAACGAAACUGUGCUUGCAAAAACUGAAAAAACGCGUGAAGGAGAGGGCGAAGGAUACAGCGGUGGUGAGGAUUCCGAUAGUAAUCAUAACGAACCACCAGGUAUUAAGAUACCUAUUGAAAGAAGACCAUAUUACGAGUCCACGGAGAAAUAUCGUAAAACUUUACGAUUGUCAUCUGAACAGAUUGCAAGUCUUGAUUUGAAGGACGGCGCUAAUGAAGUAGUUUUUAGCGUAACCACCGCUUAUCAGGGUACAAAACGUUGCAAAUGUCACAUCUACAAAUGGAAAUGGGAUGACAAGAUCGUCAUCUCUGAUAUCGAUGGCACUAUUACGAAAUCUGAUGUCCUGGGUCACAUUCUACCGAUAGUAGGCAAAGAUUGGGCUCAAUCAGGAGUCGCUCAGCUGUUCACUAAAAUCAAGAACAAUAGUUAUAAACUGCUAUACCUUUCGGCGAGAGCAAUCGGUCAAGCGGGAGGCACCCGAGAAUAUUUGAGAAAUUUGAGACAAGGAGAUUUGACAUUGCCGGAAGGUCCAUUGCUCUUGAAUCCUACUAGUUUAAUCUUGGCAUUUCAUCGUGAAGUAAUAGAGAAAAAGCCGGAAGAAUUCAAGAUAUCCUGUCUAAAAGAUAUUCAAGCGUUAUUCCCCGAAGGAUCUGAACCAUUUUAUGCUGGAUAUGGAAAUCGUAUAAAUGAUGUAUGGGCAUAUCGAGCGGUAGGCAUUCCUAUAAUGCGGAUCUUUACCAUCAACCAUCGAGGAGAAUUGAAGCACGAAUUGACGCAAACAUUCCAAUCUUCUUAUGCGCGUCAGUGCAAUAUCAUCAAUGAGUUGUUCCCGCCACCAAUGCCAAACAUCUACUGAUAGCGGCAAAACCAUAAAUUUUAUCAGAUGAAUUAAUUAAAUUCAAAUAUCAUACAUAGUAAAAUAUUAAUAAUAUCUUGUUAUAUUUAAUACAUUAUUGUGUUAUGCUUGGAAGACAUUACCACGCAUAAUACAAUUAAUGCUUUAUUUUUCGAUAAUUGAUUUAUUAUUAGUACAAAGUUGACACGCACAUUUUUCUAUGCACGAGCAAUAUGACAAAUUAUAAGAUAAAAGACUCAUUUGCAAUUAUAAAUAUUUAAAUCGAAUAUAUCUCCAGUAGAAAUGCAAAUUAGAUACUGUAGUAUACUAUACUAUUUUUCGGGAUAUAUAUUUGGUCGUACAACAACUUCCGCCUAAUCUUCUUAUGAUUUAGGAUAUUCGAACAUGAGCUUCAUCGUUGACCAUGUGUUCCCGGCAUGGCGAGAGGAUGCAACCGAGGAGUUCAGCAAUUUUGUGUAUUGGCGGGAUCCGAUACCUGAAGUACCGAAACUCGAGGAGUUUUAUGCUCAGGCUCAAACUACCU